rnacentral:rRNA from 1 species
UUAAAUGGCCGCGGUAUCCUAACCGUGCAAAGGUAGCGUAAUCACUUGUCUACUAAUUAUAGACCUGUAUGAAUGGCAUCACGAGGGCUAUACUGUCUCCCCCCUUUAAUCAGUGAAACUGAUCUUCCCGUGAAAAAGCGGGAAUAUAACUAUAAGACGAGAAGACCCCAUGGAGCUUUAAACUAAGAGCCAAUUACUAACUCUUUUCCCCACCCAAUAUUGUAACCCUGACUCAAAGUUUUAGGUUGGGGUGACCGCGGAGCACAACAAAACCUCCACAAUGAACGAACAUAAAACUCUCACCCAAGAACUACACCACAAAGGACCACCAACGUGACAUCAAUUGACCCAACCACUUGAUCAACGAACCUAGUUACCCUGGGGAUAACAGCGCAAUCCAUUUCAAGAGCCCC